UCCGCCCUAAAACCUACAUCAUCCAUACCACCUGUCUCUCCAUCAUAUUCAGGAGAUGUGAUCCAUAAUGCUCCAUAUUGGCUAACGUGUAAAGUCUGAAUUUCCCCUGAAGAACUCUCUACAAAAGUGAAGGUUCCGUUAUUAUUUUUGAUAAUGUCAAAGGAUGAAUCUGGAUCAUCAGUGUAUAUCGUAUAUACAGGUCGUACGCAAUCACAAGUUAAUAUUCUUUCGACAGUAGGAUCAUAAUAAAAAACAUUAACUGCUUCGGUGUUUCCCUCAGUAGAUGUGUACAUGUUACCUUCGUCUGGAUCGGACACAUUAGUAUUCUUAUAAACAUAUGAAGGAUUGAUUGAAUCACCCACGAGUCUCAAGUGAAAUGAGUUCUCUGGAUUGCAUCCACAAGACGGUGUGAUAACCUCCACUAAACCUGACUGAGUUCCAGAAACUGUUUGUAAUGUGGUUGUUGAGACAGGGUAACUAGAUCCAGAAGUCAACGUAGUCGUAAUAUAACCAGCAGUCGGAAUUACCACUUCAACAGUGUCAAUACUUUGAUCAACAAACGUAGUGGUAAAUUGCGUUGAACCAGAAAUGAUAGUGGUUGUAAUGGUACUGGCAGAAAUUGAGGAACUUGAUGGGAUAGUUGAAUUAGAAAGAAUAGAUGAACUAGUCGGGGUGGAAGAAGUUGUCGGCACCGGUGAAGUGGUAGGGAUAGUUGAAUUAGAGAGAAUAGAUGAGCUGGUGGGAACAGAAGCUGUGAUCGGGGUAGAUGAACUAGUAG